rnacentral:rRNA from 1 species
GAUGAACGCUAGCGACAGGCCUAACACAUGCAAGUCGAGGGGCAUCGGGGUGUAGCAAUACGCUGCCGGCGACCGGCGGAUGGGUGAGUAACGCGUAUGCAACCUGCCUUCAGCAGGGGGAUAGCCCGUUGAAAGACGGAUUAAUACCCCGUAACACAGGGGCUCCGCAUGGAGAUUAUUGUUAAAGGGAUGCUUCCUUCGGGGAGUAUUCCGGCUGAAGAUGGGCAUGCGUUCCAUUAGGUAGUUGGUUGAGGUAACGGCUCACCAAGCCUGCGAUGGAUAGGGGAACUGAAAGGUUGGUCCCCCACACUGGUACUGAGACACGGACCAGACUCCUACGGGAGGCAGCAGUGAGGAAUCUUGGUCAAUGGACGGAAGUCUGAACCAGCCAUGUCGCGUGAAGGAGGACGGCCCUAAGGGUUGUAAACUUCUUUGCAGGGGAAUAAAGUAUUCCACGAGAUGGGAUAUUGCAAGUACGCUGCGAAUAAGGAUCGGCUAACUCCGUG